AUGGCGUCCGCGGGAGAUCCUCUCCAAGGUCAAGCACGUCUAGGCCAAGCCUACUGGCCGCCCUCGCGGGUGACUGCCUCCGCGGUGACGACGGCGGCCUCGUCGUCCCUGGAGGCCGCGGCGCCCCUCAAGGCCGACCUCCGCCACGUUUGUGAUCCGUCGAUCUCGUCUCUCCAACAGUGUUCCGGAUGCACGCACGAGUUCGACCUGGACAAGCCUCCGGUGCUGCAGGAGGUGGCGGUUUUCUUCAGUGGCCACGGAAUCGAGGACUUCACCUUCAGCAGGGGCAGGCUGUCAGAAUGGCGUUGCCGGGAAAAGCUAGCGGUACGCGGAACAAUAUCACAAAACUGA
rnacentral:rRNA from 1 species